GACGAACGCUGACGGCGUGCUUAACACAUGCAAGUCGAAGGGAGUGGCGAACGGGUGAGUAACACGUGAGUAACCUGCCCUUUUCUUUGGGCUAAGCCUGGGAAACUGGGUCUACUACUGGAUGGAUUGUGCUGGGCUCGCGGCUUAUCAGCGUGUUGGUGGGGUGAUGGCUUACCAAGGCUUUGACGGGUAGCCGGCGUGAGAGGGUGGUCGUUAACACUGGGACGGAGAUACGGCCCAGACGCGGACGCGGGGCAGCAUGUGGGGAUAUGGCACAAUGGGCGAAAGCCUGAUGCAGCGACGCCGCGUGGGGGAUGAAGGCUUUGGGGUUGUAACCCUCUUUCGCUAUCGAACGGGUAGUUGGAGAAGAAGCGCCGGCUAACUACGUGCCAGCAGCCGCGGUAAUAC
rnacentral:rRNA from 1 species